ensembl:snRNA U6 U6 spliceosomal RNA
GUGCUCGCUUCAGCAGCACAUAUACUAAAAUUGGAAUGAUACAGAUUAGUGUAGCCCUGCGCAAGGAUGACACGAAAAUUCAAGAAGCAUUCCGUAUUUUU